AUACGGAGGGUGCAAGCGUUAUUCGGAAUCACUGGGCGUAAAGGACGCGUAGGCGGGUUGGCAAGUCAGAUGUGAAAUCCUACAGCUUAACUGUAGAACUGCAUUUGAAACUGCUAACCUAGAGUAUGGGAGGGGGAGAUGGAAUUAGUGGUGUAGGGGUAAAAUCCGUAGAUAUCACUAGGAAUACCGAAAGCGAAGGCGAUCUCCUGGAACAUAACUGACGCUAAGGCGUGAAAGCGUGGGGAGCAAACAGGAUUAGAACCCCUAGUAGUCC
rnacentral:rRNA from 1 species